AGACGUUUUGUUAGCAUGUGGAGGAAGACGUUCUGUUAGGAUGUGGAUGUAGACGUUCUGUUAGCAUGUGGAGGUAGACGUUCUGUUAGCAUGUGGAGGUAGAUGUUCUGUUAGCAUGUGGAUGUAGAUGUUCUGUUAGCAUGUGGAUGUAGACGUUUUGUUAGCAUGUGGAGGUAGACGUUUUGUUAGCAUGUGGAUGUAGACGUUUUGUUAGCAUGUGGAGGUAGAGGUUCUGUUAGCAUGUGGAGGUAGACGUUCUGUUAGCAUGUGGAUGUAGACGUUCUGUUAGCAUGUAGUGGCAUAUCUUCUGUGGGUCUGGGAGGGGACAGCCACAUAAGCAGUUGGUUUGAUGUCAUAUUCGUCUUUGGGUGUGUCAUGACGGUUCCAGAAAUCUCCCCUCAGGGUUUAUUGGGGUUUGGCUGUCAGGUGAGAGAGAAAUACUCCUGCUGUGAGGCAUGAUGGGAACGUCCUUGGUGAGGUAAGGGGAGAGAGCGCUAAGGAAUGCAGCGAGAUGCAGGGGCUGCCGGUGAGCUUGGAAAGUGGCUCAUAACCUAAGGAUGAGGUCAUGAUGAGCUGCACUCAGCCUGGGUCCAGUUUUCAUGCUGGGGGUGGAGUUUUGGGUUCUCACUCCCCCCCUCUUUUACAGCACAGGAUCUUUGAAGGAGAUGGAGUUCAGGUAGAGUGUUGACCUGAGUGAGGAAAUGUUGUGUAGAUUGAUUUUAAGCACAUGAAGGAGAUUCAGGUGGGACGUGAACCUAAUGACACUUCAGUCCCUCCCAAAUCUUUCUGGCAUUUUUAAUCUCAGUUUAAACAAAAAUAUCUGAAGUUGUGAGUGUUUUCUGAAGUGUUGCAAGAAAUAUUUCAAUGUUUUUCAAUAAUAAUUCCAACUAAAGGGUGUAGGACAACCAACACAUUGUAAGCUCUUUUUCCUUUAGCUUAUUAAAGUCAUGUCAUGUUCUGUAACCCCACAGAAAAUGCUCAGCAUUGAUGAAAUUCCUUAUUUCAAAAAUGAAACAAACUUUUUUGUUCAUCUGAAAACCACAGUAAAACUUUCACAAUUUUGCAAGAGCAGCAUGCUUAGUAGAUCUUACACCAAAAUGAUCAACUUUAUAUCCAAGUGAAAAUGUAAAGUUUGAUCAGUUUGUCCUAUGUUUUAAUCACAAGGAGGUGGGGACAUUAAUAUCAUAAUGUAGAGGGAAUGUUUGACUUGUUAGAUAGUUGAAAUGUUUGAAAAACUUGUGAUAUGACUACACUACCCAGAAUGCUUAGAGGGCUCAAAGAAAGGCUUGGUCAGAGGGGUUGAAGGGAAGUUGCUUUAUUUUUCUGGUGAGCCGUAAGAGUGUCGAGGCUGCUCUCCUGGUGCUUUUUUCCCCCCAACGACCAUGCUGACAUUCUCAAGACGGAGCAGCACAACGGAAGCUGUUCAAAAUGAGAGCGACUGGCCAAAGCUGUGCUGAUCGAAUAAAACUGCUGUGUCAAGAAAUAGGGAUUAAUUCUGACGCUGUCCUGCGUGUGACCAGAGGCCCUUCACUGUUAGAUACUGGCAUCUAAAGUAACGAACACCUGUUAGCCCUGGCGUUUAUUAGAGACCGACCACCACUGGAAGGUCAGUCCAGGAUCCCAGCAGUUUUGUGUGGAGAGUCAGAGAAUAAAAUGUGAGUCUAGCCAGAUGUGAUGUGGAUACAGAAUCUGGACGAAGCAGCUGGCUUUGAUGGUUGUUAUCACAUACCCUCGAUCAGUCCACAGUCUUCAGUGGACUCCAGCCUUUCAUUUGUGUUGAAGACCCCGGCGCAGGUCAGUGACGGUUGAUGUUGAGCAGCUCCAGCAGCAGCAAGAAUAAUCCUGCAAAGAGACUUCGCCUUGGUGACUCUGUCUUGACUGUGCCAUAGAGCGCUGUGCGAUGACGCACAGCCGCCGCGAGACUGGACAUGUGGGAGUUCGUUUGUGUGGACCUUUUCGUCUACUUUACAUCAAUGUGCUUCUAUGUUGAUGCAUUUUUGCUUGUACUUCAAUCUAUCCCGUCCUACUGCAAUACAGAUUGAAGAUGUUUUAUUUUUGACAUUGUUCCUGUACCCUGCUCAUGGGUCUUUUCUGGGCGAUAAGCGCUGCCAGAUAUGUGUGGCUGCUGCCCACUAUUGGGCAAUAUGUCUUGUUUGUGACGUUUUGUCUACCAGUUGGUAUAAUAAAGUUUGAUUGUUUUUUUUCCCGUUAAAUUAGUCCAGGAGUCGGUAACCUUUAACAGUAAAAGAGCCAUUUGGGUUUGUUUUCUACUGAUUAAAACCUAGAAGGAGCUGCAUAGUCUUACUUUGACCUUUAAAAAAUUUGGAUUUGCAUUCAUGGCC